AUGGCUACCAAGAAGGCCACCCGCAAGAAGGUGACCCUCCAGCUGGCCACCCUGUGCAACGUCAGGACCUGCGUGGUGGUGUACGGUGAGGACGAGGCGGUGCCUGAGGUGUUCCCUUCCAACGCCAAGGCAGUGGAUAUGCUGAAUGAAUUCAAGAGUAUGCCGGAGAUGGGGCAUUGCAAGAAGAUGAUGGACCAGGAGGCGUUCCUCACCCAGCGCAUCGCCAAGCUCCGGGACCAGGUCGACAAGGCUCGCCGCGAGUGCUAG
rnacentral:rRNA from 1 species